rnacentral:rRNA from 1 species
UACGUAGGGAGCAAGCGUUGUUCGGAUUUACUGGGCGUAAAGGGCGCGUAGGCGGCAUAUUAAGUCAUCUGUGAAAUCUCCGAGCUUAACUCGGAACUGUCAGCUGAUACUGAUGUGCUAGAGUGCGGAAGGGGCAAUCGGAAUUCUUGGUGUAGCGGUGAAAUGCGUAGAUAUCAAGAGGAACACCUGAGGUGAAGACGGGUUGCUGGGCCGACACGUGACGCUGAGUGCGCGAAAGCCAGGGAGCAAACGGG